UACGAAGGGUGCAAGCGUUAAUCGGAAUUACUGGGCGUAAAGGGUGCGUAGGCGGUUGUUUAAGUCUGUCGUGAAAUCCCCGGGCUCAACCUGGGAAUGGCGAUGGAAACUGGGCAGCUAGAGUGUGUCAGAGGAUGGUGGAAUUCCCGGUGUAGCGGUGAAAUGCGUAGAGAUCGGGAGGAACACCAGUGGCGAAGGCGGCCUUCUGGACCAAUACUGACGCUCAUGCACGAAAGCGUGGGGAGCGAACAGG
rnacentral:rRNA from 1 species